rnacentral:rRNA from 1 species
UACAGAGGGUGCAAGCGUUGUUCGGAAUUAUUGGGCGUAAAGCGUGCGCAGGCGGCGCGUUAAGACAGGUGUGAAAGCCCCGAGCUUAACUUGGGAAUUGCGCUUGUGACUGGCGUGCUGGAGUGUGGCAGAGGGAGGUGGAAUUCACGUGUAGCAGUGAAAUGCGUAGAGAUGUGGAGGAACACCGAUGGCGAAGGCAGCCUCCUGGGCCAGCACUGACGCUCAUGCACGAAGCGU